UUUCCUUGCUUACAUUAAUGUCUUAUCAACUUAGAAAACUUUUUCCUAGAUGAAAAUAAAAUAGCCAUAUAAAUUGAUUGCAGUGGAUGAAAGGGUUUGAGCUCAUAAAUUCUAACAGAAAUAAAUUGAUCAUAGUUCAUUUUCAAGCUAUUAGUUUAGACAACACAAAUACACAGUGAGCAUUUGAAACAACAUGCCAGAAAAUCUAGUCUGAUUUUUACCUCAAGGAAAUCAUGGUUGGAG
rnacentral:misc_RNA from 1 species